rnacentral:tRNA from 1 species
AAUCAAUGAACUUGUUUAAGUAUAUACUUUGAAAGUAUAAAAAAGAAAUAAUAAUUUUCUAUUGAUUU